GGUCUGAUGGCGCAGUCGGUAGCGCGCCCGCCUAACAUACCUGUACGCGGAAGGUCGCCAGUUCAAGCCUGGCUCAGAUCA